ACCGCUGAAAUAUAUGCUCUAACCUAGAAGUUUAAUUAAAGAUUUAAUUUCCCUUGUGUUUCCUUUAUGCAGCUUUGACUUUGAUCCCUUGAGAAGACACACAUUUUGGACAAUUGCAGUAGGAGGAACAUUUACCUGGUUAGGAAUCUAUGGAGUGAAUCAAUCUACUAUACAAAGAUGCAUUGCCUGCAAAACAGAAGUGCAGGCUAAGCUCGCAUUAUAUCUUAAUUUAUUGGGACUGUGGAUCAUCCUGGUAUGUGCUGUCCUUUGUGGAUUGGUGAUGUAUUCCCAUUUUAGAAGCUGUGAUCCCUGGACUGCUAAUUUCAUUUCAGCACCUGAUCAGGUAAAGAAACCAAUCAGACAUCUAAAGCGAAAUAUAGUUUAUUGCAUGGCAUAUCUUUGCAGUAAGGUUAGUGG
rnacentral:lncRNA from 11 species